GACGAACGCUGGCGGCGUGCUUAACACAUGCAAGUCGAACGGAAAGGCCCUGCUUGCAGGGUACUCGAGUGGCGAACGGGUGAGUAACACGUGGGUGAUCUGCCCUGCACUUCGGGAUAAGCCUGGGAAACUGGGUCUAAUACCGGAUAGGAGCCAUUUUUAGUGUGAUGGUUGGAAAGUUUUUUCGGUGUAGGAUGAGCUCGCGGCCUAUCAGCUUGUUGGUGGGGUAAUGGCCUACCAAGGCGGCGACGGGUAGCCGGCCUGAGAGGGUGGACGGCCACAUUGGGACUGAGAUACGGCCCAGACUCCUACGGGAGGCAGCAGUGGGGAAUAUUGCACAAUGGGCGCAAGCCUGAUGCAGCGACGCCGCGUGGGGGAUGACGGCCUUCGGGUUGUAAACUCCUUUCACUAGGGACGAAGCUUUUUGUGACGGUACCUAGAGAAGAAGCACCGGCUAACUACGUG
rnacentral:rRNA from 1 species